GACUGACUGGCUCGAUACUGACACUGAGGUGCGAAAGCGUGGGGAGCAAACGGGAUUAGAUACCCCGGUAGCCCACGCCGUAAACGAUGUCUACUAGCCGUUGGAGGACUUGAUCCUUUAGUGGCGCAGCUAACGCGAUAAGUAGACCGCCUGGGGAGUACGGUCGCAAGAUUAAAACUCAAAUGAAUUGACGGGGGCCCGCACAAGCGGUGGAGCAUGUGGUUUAAUUCGAAGCAACGCGAAGAACCUUACCUACUCUUGACAUCCAGUGAACUUUUGAGAGAUCAAUUGGUGCCUUCGGGAACACUGAGACAGGUGCUGCAUGGCUGUCGUCAGCUCGUGUUGUGAAAUGUUGGGUUAAGUCCCGUAACGAGCGCAACCCUUGUCCUUAGUUACCAUCAUUAAGUUGGGGACUCUAAGGAGACUGCCGGUGACAAACCGGAGGAAGGCGGGGACGACGUCAAGUCAUCAUGGCCCUUACGAGUAGGGCUACACACGUGCUACAAUGGCAUGUACAAAGGGUUGCCAAGCCGCGAGGUGGAGCUAAUCCCAUAAAGCAUGUCGUAGUCCGGAUUGGAGUCUGCAACUCGACUCCAUGAAGUCGGAAUCGCUAGUAAUCGUGAAUCAGAAUGUCACGGUGAAUACGUUCCCGGGCCUUGUACACACCGCCCGUCACACCAUGGGAGUGGGUUGCUCCAGAAGUAGAUAGCUUAACCUUCGGGAGGGCGUUUACCACGGAGUGAUUCAUGACUGGGGUGAAGUCGUAACAAGGUAACCGUA
rnacentral:rRNA from 1 species